ensembl:lncRNA
UUAUGUAGCAUAAUUUCACAAAGUUAAAGUCAGACCAUUCUGUUUUUGCUUCAAAUUUUGAAAUUAUACAAUCUAAUUUAGAUUAAAAACUGCUCAUGCAGCAUAUUGGCUUGAAGAAGGGCAAGGGGACAAUAGUAUCGGAUGUAUUUGAAAUUGUGUAUAUUGUAUAUCCCAUGUAUAUGUGUGUGUAUACAGUAUAUACACACACCAGUUCUGAUAAUAGUGGUGGGCAGCUUAGACCGAAAAUGCGAGAGCUGAUUUCUUUGUCCCAGUCCAGCCCUGUCCAUAGCAUUUCAUUUUUUAUUUUUUUAUUUUUUGUAGAUAAUUUUUGAUUGUUCAAUUUUGUUAGUGCUUUAAUUUUUUUGUUGUUUUACUGAUCAUAUCAGAUUCCAUUGGCAUUUCAAUCAUGACAACUCUAAGAAUAGUUUAAGCAUGUUAACAAAGCAUGCUAGGUGCACGUAAUCAGCCGAUCUGGACAGGUGGAGCUGGGGGAGGUGGAGGGUUUCAGAGGUACUCAGCUGCGGUGCAGAACUAGCUAAAACCAAACACUUAACCAUUUGCACAUAAAGGACCUAUCGGCCUGCACCAUCGAGAGUUUGAUGAUUUUAAUAUUUGUAAAAUAUUAAGUAUACUGGUCAACUGUAGUAGCUUGUUAUUUUUAUUAUUAUUUUUUGGGUGGGAUAUUUGUCCAUUGGACCAGCUGGUCCAAUUACUGAUCCACAGCAUGGCAUCAAAUGUGAAAUUUUGUUUUGUGGUCAUUCUAAAUGUUUUCCAUUCUAAAUGUUUUCUAAGCAUACAGCAGUAAAUCAGCAAUUAAAGAUCACAUUAUUAAGUACAGAUAAGACGGUCAUAUCUUCAUAUAUAUGGACCAGUAUGGACGGUCAUAUAUAUGGACCAAUAUACAGACACUGUAGCCUUCAUACCAUUUCAGACGAGGGUGGGAACAUUCAAUGAAAAAUUCACCAUCUGGUCACUCCAUCAAAACACUACUAUCUUCACGUGUAAAAGAUAGACAGUGGGUUGAAGUGAGACACUUUCUGAUCACCUGUCAUUGGCCUUGUUUCUAAAAUACGAUGCCAGUGGCUACAACAAUGCCAUCUGUGCUGGAUUAAGAAGAACUUCACAUUAAUUUCAGCUGGAAGAAUAUAAUGACAAAUGAUAGAGCUCAAGCGUCCUGCUCUACCUGCACUUACUCUAAUUCUGUCCAUGAUUUACACUAAAAGCAAAAAAAUUCCACUAAUACAGACUGUAACACUUAAACAACAGGAGAUGUCUUGUGAGAUGAGAACUUGCUGCAGCGAACCCUCUGCGAUGAUAAUUGUGUUGUAAUGAUUUGCAUAGGGGUGAGAGUGAUCAUGCUUCAGCUGGCAGAGUGCGCUGGCACGGAAAAGCAUUUUAGAAGACCCUUUCCUCUUAAAGCUCACUAAUCACCCACACACUCAGUAUUUACUGUAUCUGUGGCACGUCAACAACUGAAGCAGGCUUCAUUUAUCUGCUCAUGUUGCUAGGUUACAUGCUGAGAUGUGGGCUAGUGUGAUGUGUUCUGGACAGCAAGUGGACAGUAAGAUCAUGUGAGAUUACCUUCUGAAACACUGCCGAAUCAAGAUAAUUAUGCUGCCUUUACAAAGCCUGCAUACUGUUAUUAUAGAAACGUGGUUUAGGGUUUUUUCAAAGUCCAUAACCUCUUUCUGACUGUAACUCCUGCUGGAGCUUUCAAGCUACAUCCCCAGAUGCACCUCAGACCUUCAGUCUGUUCUGACCAAUAGUAAGGCCCUUUUACACUAGGAAUGAUAUUUAUAAGAUAACUGUAACUAUAUUUGUGUUCACACCAAUGCAUGACAACGUUCAGUUUAUUCUAAGCGCACAUUGCAGUUUUUUCAUCUGCCUUCUUAAAUGCUCGAGCUCUUUAAAGCAGAAUGAUCAAAGUUGUUUUUUAUUUUUUAUCAUUCAUCAGCUGGAAAAAAA